rnacentral:tRNA from 1 species
GCCGAGGUGGUGGAAUUGGCAGACGCGGUGGACUCAAAAUCCACUGAGGGUGAAACCUCGUGCGGGUUCAAGUCCCGCCCUCGGCACCA